GUGCCAGCAGCUGCGGUUAAACAAAAAAUACUAAUAAAUUAUAUUUAAUAAUAAUAAAAGUGUUUAUUAAUUAAAUAGAAAAAAAUAUUAAGUGAAAUUUUAUUUCUUUUUGUAAUUUUUAGAUUAAUUGAUUUUAAUAAAAUUUGAUUAUAAACUAGGAUUAGAUACCCUAUUAUUCAAUUUGUAAUUAAAAGUAUUUGAGUAGUAGUAGUUAAAGUCUUGAAACUUAAAAAAUUUGGCGGUAUUUUAGUCUAUUCAGAGGAACCUGUAGUGUAAUUGAUAAUCCACGUUGGACCUUAUUUAGUUUUGUUUUACAGUUUGUAUACCGCCGUUAUUAAAAAAUUUUAUAAGAAUAAUAAUUUUUAUGAUUUUUAAUUAAAAAAUAAAUCAGGUCAAGGUGCAGCUUAUAAUUAAAUAUUUUAUGGGUUACAAUAAAUUUAUUUAUUAUGAAUUAAAUUGUGAAAAAUAAUUUAUGAAAGUGGAUUUGAAAGUAAAUUUUUAUAGAUAAAAAAAUUGAUUUUAGCUCUAAAAUA
rnacentral:rRNA from 1 species